AAAGAUCCUUUUAAAAAGUCGCAGCUGAGGCCCAGCACAGUUGGUAUACCUGUCCACCUCAUAUAACGCUGCACCCGGGUUCAAAUUCCAGCUGAGGCUGGUUGUUGGUUUAAAAACUCAUGAUACCCAUGGUAGUGUGUGAUAAUGCCUAGGAUUGGGAGCUGUCCAAUCCACUUGACCAAAAAAAAAAA